GAAAUGCGAUACGUAGUGUGAAUUGCAGAAUUCCGUGAAUCAUCAAAUCUUUGAACGCAUAUUGCGCUCAAGGCCUCGGCCGAGAGCAUGUCUGCCUCAGCGUCGGGUUAAUACUCGCUCAACUACUCAUUGUAUGAGAGCGGAUCUGGCUGUCCCAAGCUUGAGCCUAGCUUGAGCUUGGGUUGGCUGAAGCAAAGAGAUCAAUGCAGGACCCGCUAUGGGCCGCAACUGGGUAGGCAACUUGUUGCUAUUCUUAGUUGUUGGCUUGGGAUUUGCAUUCGAUCCCUAACCAGGAACCCAUCUAUUUUCUCGACCUGAGCUCAGGCAAGAACACCCGCUGAACUUAA
rnacentral:misc_RNA from 1 species